GCGGGAAUAGCUCACGACCUUGCCAAGGUCGGGGUCGCGAGUUCGAGUCUCGUUUCCCGCUCCA
rnacentral:tRNA from 1 species